UCCUAUAGAUUCAGACAGGAUCCCUUGGC
rnacentral:piRNA from 1 species